rnacentral:piRNA from 1 species
UAUAAAGCCAAUGAUUACCUGUGGCUCAAC